CCUCAUUGGUCCACUCUCCUUCUCUCCCUGCUUAUAUACCCGGUUCCUCUAAUUAUUCUUCGCUGGUUCCUCCGUUCAUGUAUACCAUGUUUGUAACGUCUUUCCCUGAGCUCUUUGGAUUAUGCUUCUUGUGAAUUCUCUUCUGUGAAUCUCCUACGACCUUACGCUGGUGGAUCGUUUAGGAAUCAGAAGUGAAGAACUCACCACGCCUUUAAGAGCCACGGCAUUGGAUGGGAAGGAGCUGCUUCGAAUCACACAUCGAACCCGACCCAUUCAACUAGUCCUCAGUCCGCUGUUCCACCUACUUCCGCGCCGGCACCUCCUGAGGAGGCUGACCCCUGUGAGUUAUCGGGUGUGCCAAUUGAGUAUCAUGAUCUGCGGGAGGUGUUUAGUAAACAACAAGCCCUGACUCUUCCACCUCACCGCCCCUAUGACUGUGCUAUCGACCUGCUUCCAGGAGCACCUUUACCUACUAGCAGGUUAUAUCCAAUCUCCCGUCCAGAACGUCAAGUACUUGAAGACUAUAUCACUAAGUCAUUAGCUGCUGGGCUCAUUAGACACUCAUUGUCACCACUUGGGGCAGGGUUCUUUUUUGUCAGCAAGAAAGACCGGUCUCUGCGGCCGUGUAUUGACUUCAGGGGACUAAAUGCUAUCACAGUGAAUAAUAAAUAUCCUCUUCCUCUCAUUUCUUUUUACCAAGCUAUACUUACGCAAUGCGUACCAUUUAGUGCAUAUAAGACAGGGGGAUGAAUGGAAGACAGCCUUCAAAACUCCCUUAGGCCACUUUGAGUAUUUAGUGAUGCCUUUCGGAUUAUGCAA